GGGCCUUUAGCUCAAUUGGAUAGAGCGUCUCGCUUCGAACGAGUAGGUUGCGGGUUCGAGUCCUGCAAGGCCCG
rnacentral:tRNA from 1 species